GAGCAGGCCCUGCACCUCACCUGGGCAGCACAGUACAGCCAACCUUGGCGGUGGAAGUGUGGCUGAGCCCGCUCCAAAGUUGUCAUCUGAUGUCUCAAGCCUUGGUGCGCUCAUCAACCAGGAGGAACAAAGACCAUGGCUUCAGCCACUAUCAUCAAGCUUCAGUGAUUCUCCCUGCACAAGGUAUCCACCUGCCACCCCAUGCCCACAUUUGCUGAGAUACCUGGCAAUGAGGGCGGCCCUACUGACCUCACUCAGAACUGGAGACUGAACACUGACAUCUACCUGUGACGCCCACCCUACUGCCUUGUGACCUGUGAUGGCACUGAAAAGCCAGACAGAGAAAAUGAGCCAGCUUGCCCCUGUCCUCCCUUC